rfam:Pteropus alecto contig77983, whole genome shotgun sequence.
GUCUGCGGCCAUGCUACCCUGAACAAGCCCGAUCCCCAUCUUAUCUUGGAAGCUAAGCAGGGUCGGGCCUGGUUAGUACUUGGAAGGGAGAUCACCUAGGAAGACCAGGUGCUGUAGGCG